GCAUAUCAAUAAGCGGAGGAAAAGAAACCAACAGGGAUUGCCCUAGUAACGGCGAGUGAAGCGGCAACAGCUCAAAUUUGAAAUCUGGCCCCCGGGUCCGAGUUGUAAUUUGUAGAGGAUGCUUUUGGUGCGGUACCUUCCGAGUUCCCUGGAACGGGACGCCAUAGAGGGUGAGAGCCCCGUCUGGUUGGACGCCAAUCCUUUGUAAAGCUCCUUCGACGAGUCGAGUAGUUUGGGAAUGCUGCUCUAAAUGGGAGGUAUAUGUCUUCUAAAGCUAAAUAUUGGCCAGAGACCGAUAGCGCACAAGUAGAGUGAUCGAAAGAUGAAAAGCACUUUGAAAAGAGAGUUAAAAAGUACGUGAAAUUGUUGAAAGGGAAGCGCUCAUGACCAGACUUGGGCCCGGUUGAUCAUCCAGGGUUCUCCCUGGUGCACUCUUCCGGCCCAGGCCAGCAUCAGUUCGCUGUGGGGGAUAAAGGCUUCGGGAAUGUGGCUCCUCCGGGAGUGUUAUAGCCCGCUGCGUAAUACCCUGUGGCGGACUGAGGUUCGCGCAUCUGCAAGGAUGCUGGCGUAAUGGUCAUCAGCGACCCGUCUUGAAACACGGACCAAGGAGUCGUCUUCGUAUGCGAGUGUUCGGGUGUUAAACCCCUACGCGGAAUGAAAGUGAACGCAGGUGAGAGCUUCGGCGCAUCAUCGACCGAUCCUGAUGUUCUCGGAUGGAUUUGAGUAAGAGCAUACGGGGCCGGACCCGAAAGAAGGUGAACUAUGCCUGUAUAGGGUGAAGCCAGAGGAAACUCUGGUGGAGGCUCGCAGCGGUUCUGACGUGCAAAUCGAUCGUCAAAUAUGGGCAUGGGGGCGAAAGACUAAUCGAACCUUCUAGUAGCUGGUUUCCGCCGAG
rnacentral:rRNA from 1 species